UNGUCUCUGACCUGUGACUGGUACCUUUA
rnacentral:piRNA from 1 species